CUUAAAUUAUUUUAAAAAGCUUCAGUAUGAUUGACAUAAGCUGAACUUUUCAAUAUUACUAACAGUACUCCUCUUCUUCUUGUAUAGCUUGACAGUCUGAAGUCAAGCCUUGGCCUCUUUACUAACACUACUAAUAUAUACAUAUUUUUGAACUGCUUUCUUUUAUCUUGUGUCAGUCUUAACAUAUCAGCAAGCUACGGCAGAUUUAACAAAGAAAUUGAAGGUGUUGGUAUUCACCUUGAAGUUCUGUUAGUUACAGGAACAGUAUGGCUGCGUAGGACUUGUAACAGAUAGUUUAAUCAAGUCUUUAACACACAAAAAUAAUCUUCCAAAUCCUUCAAGUUUCUGACCAUAGCUGUGUGUGUGAAUUUCUCAUACAUUUGAAUGUUCAGUCCAUUUCCUUCUCCAUUUGAUUUGACCAGCAUAAUAGUAUUUGGUGAAAAAUAGAAAUCAUGAAGCUCCUCAUUAAACACUUUUGUCAUUAUGUUACUGCUCAUCUCUUAAGUCCAAGUAAUGUUUUCGUCGCCCUGUUCUGAAAUUCCCAAUCCCUUGCAGUGAAAGACCAAGUUUUACACAUACAAAACAACAGGGAGAAUUACAUUUUGAUCUUUUUGUUUUGAUAGACAAGAUUCUUAUAUAAAUGGCAUCAAGCAUCCCAGAGAAUAACCUGUAUCAAAUUAUGUCUUUAAAUUCUGCUACAUACUCUUGAAAUAAACUAUAGAACUAUGGCUCUUAGAGAAGAGGUAAAUCUAGAAAUAGAAUUUGUUAGUUUUAAUUAGUUUACAUGUGGAAUACUGAAAUUAAAAUUUUGCAUUCAAUUUCAAGUCAUUCGCUGGAAGCUAGCCUCACUUCAAUUCCCAGCCUCGGGACAACGGAUUAUUCUCAAACCUCCACUUCACUUCGAUAGUCUAUGACGUAGCAACUAGUCGUGCGUUGUGUGGAUGAAGCGCAAAGUUUCACAAAGCCUAAAGUACUGUACUGCAAGCAAUCGUGGAAGAAUAACAAUUUGAAGCUGGUGGUACGUGAGUGCUUCCUUCGCUUCUUCCGUGUGUCCAUGAUUCAGAAGCCAGUUUGGAGUCUCAGGCAUGAACAUAAUGAGGAUAAGUGCCAUAAUGGGUAUAGCAGCGCUGAUACCAGCGAGCACUGUCCACGUCACGACAGCUCCCAGAAUGUACUCUAUGGUUACCCCAAGAGACACCCCGACAGACGCCAAAGCAGACAGCAUUCCUCGCAGGUGAGGUUGGGUCACUGAACACAAACCAUGGACAUGUUCUUGCAAAGUUCCAUAGCUAAGGACAAAUAGCAGUAUAGUUUCUUAAAGAAACGGUUUGGAAGCCUGAAGUGAUAAUGCCAAAAAGUAAUUACACUUUUAUAUGAAUAGUUUACAUAAUUUCUGGUACAGGGUUUCUAACUGAUUCUUGUACAAACAGUGUGUUGGGUUUCUGCUUUAUUUUAGACUGAUUGUAAAAAUCAUUUCUGAAGUCUGACAUGAAGCUAUACAGAAAAUUUUAUACUUCAGUUGAGAGAGUUAGUGGAAUAAACAGUAAAAACAUAAGA